rnacentral:lncRNA from 1 species
GGAUCGGUAGGCAGCUAGUUGGGUGUGCAGAGCUCAAGGCCACAAGACACGCCCCCCACACCCGGUCCCCUGUCCCCUGCUAAGUGUCAGUCAAAGCACCCGGCUUCCCAUGAUGCAUCCGGGUGGGUGAAGGCUUCCCAUGAUGCAUCCGGGUGGGUGAAGUCCGGGCGCUCGCUUCCGUCAUGGACCGACAUUAGAGGUGCUGAGCCUGUCUGUUUCGGAUCUCGGAGGGAGGUUGUCCACGCUCUCCUUCUCCUGUUCUCAGACUUUCCCACUUGCAGAUAAUAUCUGGCUGUCCAUUCUACAAUGCGGAGUGAGAACUUUCCCCACCGUCCUUGAUAAAUGUUGCCCAGCUUCCACUGCCAAGAAUGCAUUGUCCAAGAUGCCUGUCUAGUUUGUAAAGAUGGAGCCCACCCUUUGCUGCUUUCAAGUAAGUAUGGAAUGACAUGGUAGUAGGGGUGGGCAGACACAGAGAUGGUGGGAAUAGAAAAUAUGCAUGUAAAAUAA